rnacentral:rRNA from 1 species
UAACACGUGGGCGACCUGCCUUCGAGUGGGGAAUAACGCUGGGAAACCAGCGCUAAUACCGCAUACGCUCGCUCCUUCGUGGGAGCGAGGAAAGCUCUAUGCGCUCGAAGAGGGGCCUGCGGCGGAUUAGCUAGUCGGUGGGGUAACGGCCUACCGAGGCGACGAUCCGUAGCUGGUCUGAGAGGAUGAUCAGCCACACUGGGACUGAGACACGGCCCAG